CUCCGUAGGGAGCGAGCGUUGUCCGGAAUUACUGGGCGUAAAGGGCGCGUAGGCGGCGCUUCAAGUCGUCUGUCAAAUGGGAGGGCUUAACCCUUUUUCGCAGACGAAACUGGAGAGCUUGAGUAGCAGAGAGGCAAACAGAAUUCCUGGUGUAGCGGUGAAAUGCGUAGAUAUCAGGAAGAAUACCAGUGGCGAAGGCGGUUUGCUGGCUGCAUACUGACGCUGAAGCGCGAAAGCCAGGGGAGCAAACGGGAUUAGAUACCCCGGUAGUCCUAGCAGUAAACGAUGUAUGCUGGGUGUGAGACUAGCGAUAGUUUCGUGCCGAAGUUAACGCGAUAAGCAUACCGCCUGGGGAGUACGGUCGCAAGAUUGAAACUCAAAGGAAUUGACGGGG
rnacentral:rRNA from 1 species